GAACCAACAGGGAUUGCCUCAGUAACGGCGAGUGAAGCGGCAACAGCUCAAAUUUGAAAUCUGGCCCUCUCAGGGUCCGAGUUGUAAUUUGGAGAAGAUGCUUCGGGUGUGGCCCCGGUCUAAGUUCCUUGGAACAGGACGUCACAGAGGGUGAGAAUCCCGUACGUGGCCGGUGGCCGCGCCCAUGUGAAGCUCUUUCGACGAGUCGAGUUGUUUGGGAAUGCAGCUCAAAAUGGGUGGUAUAUUUCAUCUAAAGCUAAAUAUUGGCCAGAGACCGAUAGCGCACAAGUAGAGUGAUCGAAAGAUGAAAAGCACUUUGGAAAGAGAGUUAAACAGUACGUGAAAUUGUUGAAAGGGAAGCGCUUGCAACCAGACUUGCGCGCGGCCGAUCAUCCGGUGCUCGCACCGGUGCACUCGACCGCGCGCAGGCCAGCAUCGGUUUGGGCGGUUGGAUAAAGGCCCCAGGAAUGUGGCUCUCUUCGGGGAGUGUUAUAGCCUGGGGCGCAAUGCAGCCCGCCCGGACCGAGGACCGCGCUUCGGCUAGGAUGCUGGCGUAAUGGUUGUCAGC
rnacentral:rRNA from 1 species